rnacentral:lncRNA from 1 species
GCGUUGUCGUGCUGUCUCAUCCCUCAAGGGUGGUUGCCGGGCGAAAACCCAGUCCUAGCUCCUUUGAGCCCCGACGGACGGUGGCGGUGGUUUACCGUCGCUUCUCUUCUUGAAGACGUCGUUUUAGCAUCCCCUAGCAGAAGCCUCUUGAUCGAUUGGUGCAAGCACACUCUAGGAGUUGGCUUUGUAUUGGUUGUGAGAGUGUUCUUUUGGGCGAUCUCGUCUGUGUUCCUUUGUUGGUCUAGCGGCGGCCGGUCCGGUGUUAGCCUUCUCCCGGUCUUAUGUGCUGGCGCUGUCGGGUCGUAA